rnacentral:lncRNA from 1 species
ACAUUUAUAUGUAUAUAUAUUUUAAAUGAUAAAAAAAGAAUAGCAAUGUUUUAUGUUAUUAUAUAUACAGAAGAAAAUGUUAUUAAACUAAAGAACAACAUAACUUUAUUUGAAAAUAUCUAUGACCGGAAUGGACGUAAAGUACCUAAAGAAAUAACAAUUCAUGAGGAUAAUAACGAUUUUUUUGAACAAGAUAAAGACGAAUGCUUGUUGAAAGAAAAAAUAGAAAAAGAAACAAGAAAGAAAAAAAAAAAAAAAAAUGAAUAUGGCAAAUAUAAAUAUCAAUCAUCAUAUAUUUUAAAUAAAAAUAAAAUCAUUUACUACACUUCUGUUUUUAUAGAACUAUAUAUAAAGCAAUGUGACAAUUUGGACUUAUAUUUAAUUGAAGAAGAGGAAGAUAAAAAAAAUUCGUAUGAACAAAAUGAUAUAGGAUGUAACACACAUCAUAAUCAUAAGAUAAAAAAUGCACAAGACAAAAAAAAAAAAAAAAAAAAAUUAAAAAAAGGUAAACUAGGCACAACAUGGGAAGGGAAAGGGGUAACAGAAAAAAAAGUUAACAACCAUGUGAAUGAUAAUGAUAGGAACAAUAAUGGCAAUAACAAUAAUAAAAGCAAUUUUAAUAAUAACAACAAUUUUAAUAGCAACAAUUUUAAUAAUAACAACAAUUUUAAUAAUAACAACAAUUUUAAUAAUAACAACAAUUUUAAUAAUUGUAAAAAUUCUUACAACUUGGCUAGUUCUAAUAAUAUUUACAGCAGCACUUCCUCAAGACAUUCUUCUUUUUUCUCUGACGACUCUUCUUCUUUAUCAUGUACUACCCCCUCGUUAAGAUGUUCCCACACGACAGCACCAACCAUUAACUUGCCAUUACAUAGGUCUCAUAUGCUAUUCAUAUUAUCAUUACCAAUACAUUUUUCCCUUCGCGAGUUUUUUAUUUUAAUUAGCAAAUAUAUUGAUUAUAUUUCUGUUUGUAAAAUUUUUCGUUUAAAGAACAACUUUAAUUUUAUACAAAGCGGAAAAAAUGAACAGGACCAAAAACAAACAAACCCAGACAAUAACGUAUUUCUAAAAAAUAUAUGCAAAUACAACUUGUAUAAUGAUAAUACGAACACUGACAUUAUUCAUAAAACUGAAAUGGACAACAUGGAAAACUUUGAUAACCAAGGUGAGUAUACCCCAAUAAAUAAAAAUAGUAACAUAUCAGUUAUUAGUUUUAAAAAAGACAUAGAGAAAAAAGUAAAAUUGUACAAACAGUUGUAUAAUAAUCUAAAAAAAAAAUUAAAAAAAAAAAAAAAAAUUGAAACAUAUUCAAUUUUACUUUCAUUUAAAACACAAUUAUAUGCUGAUAUGUUUUAUCAAAAUUUCCACUGUAAAAAUUUAAAGUUUUUAAUUGAACAAAAUAUAUCAAUAUCAUUAUCUGAAUCAUCUUUAUGUUAUGAGUUGUCGUCAUAUGUAUCACAAAAGAAAAAUAUAAAAAAUGUUAUUAAUAAAAAAUGGUAUGUUUAUUGUGUGUUUGUUAAUUCCGUUUAUUAUAUUUUAUAUAAUAAUGAUACUGAAAAACAGAAAAAUCAAAAUGAAUCAAAAUAUGUGUGUCCAUUAGUCAAAACUUCAAGUGAUCACAUAAAUAAGUUAAAUAAUAUGAAUUCGUUAAAUAUGUGUGAAAAUUAUGACAAAAAAGAAGAUUGUAGUUUUUUUGAUGUUGAUAUUAUACAAGAGGAGUCCACAAGUGUGAAAGGCUAUUAUAGCGGUAACUAUAAUGGUAACUGCAAUUGUAGUGGUAACUGCAAUUGUAGUGGUAACUGUAACUGUAAUGGUAACUGCAACUGUAAUGGUAACUGCAACUGUAAUGGUAACUGCAACUGUAAUGGUAACUGUAACUGUAAUGGUAACUGCAACUGUAAUGGCAUUGGCAACAGCAAGGAAAACCGUGAGAAGGACUUUCCAUUCAAUAAAAACAGCUUUGACGAUGACAAACACACCAUAAACAACUUAAUAAAAAAAAAUAUAUAUCCAUUCACUCUUUUUGAUAUUAACAAAUAUGAAAAUGUUUAUACUAACAUUAUAAAAGAUUGUAAUGUAUGUUUAUCUACUUGUUUAGUAUGUAUGGAACGAUUAGAUAACAGCAUUUAUUUUAUUCUUAGUAGGAACAAAAAAUGGAGUUAUGUAGAAAAAGAAAAUAACAGUUAUUAUGAUUAUAUAAACUUAUCUUGUUAUGUUUGUGUAUUAAUAUUUUUUUAUUAUGUUUUGUUAAAAUUUGAAGGUAACGAUCAUACAAUUGGUGACUUUCUUUUUGAAUUUCAAAAGCAGCUCGGUGAGAAAGAGAAGGAGAAAGAAAAAGAUAAAGAAAAAGAGAAAGAAAAAGAUAAAGAAAAAGAUAAAGAAAAAGAGAAAGAAAAAGAUAAAGAAAAAGAGAAAGAACGAGAGCAAAAAUAUGAACAAGAAAGAAAUAAUGAUAAAGAAAUAAUAUACAAAGAAUUACAAACCUAUUUUAUCAAUCAUUAUAACGGUGUGGAAAAAGAAAAAAUAGCUAAUUACAUGAACAAUGGUAACAACUGUAACGUGUUGGACGUUCAUAACAACUGGGAUAGCACAAACAAAAUGAAUAACAUGAUAUACACAAUAAUUGAAUUAUAUACAUUGGUGAAAAAUUUAAAAUGCAAAUGUUGUAAUAAUAAUGACGAUAUAUGGUUUUGUUUAAUAUGUGCUAACAUAGGAUGUAGUAGGUACCAAAAAAGUCAUGCAAAAAUACAUAGUACCGCAUUUAAUCAUAAUUAUUGUAUUAAUUUAAAAACAAAGCAAGUAUGGAAUUACCUACAAGAUAAGUUUAUGGAGAAAAAUAUGUUUGAUAAUAGUAUAGAGGAUAGUGAUGGUAUAAAUCACUCCGUUUACCAUUUUGAUAAAAAAACAUACGAACAAAUUUUGCGCAAUCAUCAUAACAAUAAUAGCAGUAGUCGUAAUGGUAGUAGUGGUACAAAUAAUUAUAAUCAUAACGAUUAUAAUUAUUGUUUAGAAAAAAAAUAUAACAAAAAAAAAGAAAAAAAAAACAAACCUGGUUUUGUUUAUCAUGAUGAAGAAGAAAACAUACUUUUGAAUAAUAUACAUACAAAUAGUUACAAUAAUAAUAACAACAAUGGACAGAAUUACUAUAACUACAGUUACAGCUACGAAAACAUUUAUCACAUGAACAAUAUAUAUAAUAAUUACAUUAUAGAUAAUAUGGAAAAUGAUUAUUUUUAUGAAUAUAAAGAUGAAAUUUAUAACAAAAUAAUUAAUAUAUUUACUGAUGAUAUAUAUAUUAAUGACAAUUUAAAAAACGAACUUUUAUAUAUUCUCUAUUCACAAUUGUCACAAGAAUCUAACAUAUAUAAUAAUAUUUUAAUUGAUCUUCAAUAUAAAUACCUCAAUAAUAUGGAAAAUAAAAAAAAAACAAUCAAACUUAUUCGUGAACAUAUCAAUCAAAUAAAAAAAGAAAACAG